rnacentral:rRNA from 1 species
UACGUAGGGUGCGAGCGUGUCCGGAAUUAUUGGGCGUAAAGGGCUCGUAGGCGGUUUGUCGCGUCGGGAGUGAAAACUCAGGGCUUAACCCUGAGCCUGCUUCCGAUACGGGCAGACUAGAGGUAUGCAGGGGAGAACGAAUUCCUGGUGUAGCGGUGAAAUGCGCAGAUAUCAGGAGGAACACCGGUGGCGAAGGCGGUCUCUGGGCAUUACCUGACGUGAGGAGCGAAAGUGUGGGGAGCGAACAGG